CUCUGGCUGGCAGGUGGCUUUCUGGAUAAUCUUUGUUAUCCUCCUGGGAGCAAUUGGUGUGGUUUCAUACUUCUGUUGGAAACAGCAGAGACAACGCAGUCUAAUGAGAGAGUUCAAAGUUCGACCUGCCAUCGAUGAAUAUGAAACAUUGUGUGCCAAGUUCGAUCAAGUGAAUGCAUGUGCUGAGGAAGAAAAGAAAAAUCUAUUAAUACAGAUAGAAAACGAAAGGCAGGCCGCCAAAUUGGGUAAGACUCUGGAUGUGAGUUUGCUCGCUGAGCUGGAAGGUUAGUUUUCAGACGUUUCGUCACCAU